UCUAGCAGAGGGAUACUUAAAAUGAUCUAUCACUCAUCUUCAGUUAACUGUAAAGUCUGUGCAUUACCUUGACUGUCCAAAGCGUCAGUAAACAAGAAUGAAGCUAACCACGUAAAAAAGUGAGCUGAUUUGUCUGGAAAUCACACAUCCUCCCAGCAGUACCCCCUACAGUGCUGUACACACUUGAGAUGAUCUCCUUGGACUGUGUGCUGGAAAACACUGCAAGGACAGAGUGCAAAUAAGGUGCCCAAUAGAGGAUGUAUCGUGAAAAAAACCUAUAUCUUUCUUCAGUGUAAAUCCCUUGGCUUGUACCCAGGACAAAUCUGACAAUAAAGUCUUAGAUAAGUUUUCUCUGCAUCUGUUUCCCUCAUAAAAGCAGCAGCAGCAAUUGCAGUCUUUGCUCAGAAGAAUUCUCUUGGGCCCCAAUAGUUUGACACAAAAUAAUAUCCACACUUAGAAAAACCAUUAGUGUGUCCUAGCACUUUCCUGGGGAAGCUGAAAUAAAGACUUGCAUGCUGAAGUGGGACAAAAUUCUGCUAAGGGAGCCUGCCAAUGCCAGGGCUAUUACCCAGCAGGAGGAUGGCAGGAUGAAACCAUCUCUCACCUUUGUCCAGCAGUCUGUGUCAGUAAGACAUCCAUUUUGUCACUUUCUGCAGCCUCCAUCUUAUCUCCUAGCUACCAGAGCUGGAGUUCAGGGGCCUGGGGACCCUUCUUAAUUUACCUGAAAUUACUGGCAGGUGUCUUGGUGGUCCUGGGACCCAUCAUGCAUUUAAUCUCUCUUUCCCUUGUGUGCUAGCACUGGUACUGUUAUUAGAUGCUGCCUAGUCCCUUCUCUCCAACUGGACUGAUUGCAGUGGCAGAUAGUUUUCUCCAGAAGGCUGAAUUACAGAGCAUGCACAUAUUGCUUCCUAGCAGCAAAGAGGAGCUUUCAAGAAUGAAACGAAGUUUUUGCUCGCAGCAGCGUACCUGUGCUAAAGUAGCUGUCCUCUCUGCACCGCUUCCCUUGUCUUUGACAGAGGACAUUGCAAACCAUCCUCUGUCUCACGGCUCGUUCCAAUAAUACCAUGAACUGAACGUGCAUCAAUCUGUGGUCUCGCUAAAAGCACUGUUUAUUUUUUAGAUUGGUGGCAAAACAAAAAUGUAAUUAGGAAAGCACAUUUCAAGUGACAGAAAUCCUUUUGUUUCAGCUGCAAAUGAGAAACUUGAUUUUUGCUUUGUGCAUUUUUCUUAUACCAUAAAAGUCAAAUUAAACUGAAUUUAGUCUUGAAAAAGAACUAGAAGAAUGCCACCAUACCUCUGCUGUAUAUAACUGUACUAUAUUAUACUGUGCUAUGUUAAGCUAUACUAUACCAUUCUAUGCUAUAUUGUAUUAUACUAUACUACACUGUAUGCAUUUCUAGUUUUGAAAUCUUUGAGUUUUCCAGUGUUAAAAAUUGUUAGAAUUACAUUUCUCACCAAAACAAAAGAAAAAAAAAACAAAAAGAAAACAAUCUGAUUGAUAUCAUUCAUUAGAGAAUCAUGGAUUUUGGCAGAAAUUCAAGUAUUGGCAGUCCAGAUCAUGAUUUUCCUUAGUGAAUAAAUGAUGCAUAUAUAAAAAUGCAUCUGAUUCCAAUCACAUCUUUCAAUUCAGGUAUGUUAGGGGAAAAAGUAUUGUGUUUGCUUUCAAUUAGGAAUGUAUAUGGAAAUAUAAAAGACACAAAGACAGACCUCUUAUGGAAAAUUAUAUUAGAAGUUUAUUAUAUUACACUUAAUGGAACACUAUUAUAUUACACUCAGAUUUAGUUCAGAUACUUCUGUUUCACCUGUAUUCAGUGUAGGCAUGUACCAGCAAAUGGUAAUUAACUGUUUGUGUUCAGCUUUCUCUGUAUUUGCUUGUUUUGGCACUGCAUGAGCUGUAUUGUAGGGUUGUUGUUAUUGCUGAUUCUUUUGUUGUUGUUUGUUUUGUUUUUAAUACAUCCCACGUUGAGGGGAUGCAAUACAAUCCAAUGGGAUAGUUAAAC
ensembl:lncRNA